rnacentral:rRNA from 1 species
CCUACGGGAGGCAGCAGUGGGGGAUAUUGCACAAUGGGGGAAACCCUGAUGCAGCGACGCCGCGUGGGUGAAGAAGUAUUUCGGUAUGUAAAGCCCUAUCAGCAGGGAAGAAAGAAGACGGUACCUGACUAAGAAGCCCCGGCUAACUACGUGCCAGCAGCCGCGGUAAUACGUAGGGGGCGAGCGUUAUCCGGAUUCACUGGGUGUAAAGGGAGCGUAGACGGCCGUGCAAGCCAGGAGUGAAAGCCCGGGGCCCAACCCCGGGACUGCUCUUGGAACUGUGCGGCUGGAGUGCGGGGGGGGCAGGCGGAAGUCCUGGUGUAGCGGUGAAAUGCGUAGAUAUCAGGAGGAACACCGGCGGCGAAGGCGGCCUGCUGGACCGCGACUGACGUUGAGGCUCGAAAGCGUGGGGAGCGAACAGGAUUAGAUACCCGUGUAGUC